CCAACUAUUGGUAUAGUUACCAAUAUAUACCAACUAUUGAAUAAGUAACGUUUGUAUUCAUGUCGUCACUUUCACAUAAUUUCAUAAGAACAAUUCCAGUUAAUAUUAAUGCAUCUCUAUUGAGGAACGUCUAUGUAUAUUAGACAACUAGCAUGAAUAAUAAUAAAAUUCAAUAGCGGAGCUGAUUACAAAAUACAAAUCGUCUGCACCAGUUGCAUAACAUAUAAACUGACUGAGAUUCCUUUUCUACCUUAAAUAAUUUUAACAAGUUCAAAAUUAAUAAAUCAACGUUCUUAAUUUUUGUCAAUCUUAAUAAAUAUACAUAUAUAUAAAUAAAUUUAAUCUAGUCAAGAACAUUUAUGUGUAUUUAAAGAAAUUUGACGUCAUUUUUUAGAAAAGUUGUCACCUGUCGUGGACAAUCAAUUCACCAAAAUUUGUUCUCGAAAUCAUCAAAUUUUGUAUAUUGAGAUAAAGUUUAUCAUUAUUAAUAUAGUAACAUAUUUGCAGGAGAAUACAAUGACAUAGAGCUUUUAUUAUUUUAAAGCUAUGAGAUUACUACUACAUAUUACUUCGCGAGUAUAUGUAUAUUCCACACUGUACAACAUAAUUCACGAGGGGAACGCAUUUAUUUCAAUGUGUAUAAAUAAGCUAUUAUAUCUUUUCGAUCAUCCGGCUUUCUAAUACCAUUAAAUACCAUUCUUGUGCCAGGAACAAAUUGUUUGGGGAACUCCAAAUACGCAUCUAAUGAUGUCUGGUCCCAUGUAACGGCCUUGUCCUUCAUUUGCUGCGUAUAUUUGAAAUUGGUAUUGGCUAGAUUAAAGACAAAAAAUGAUAAAUUUUCUGUUAUUACUCGAUCGAUUAUUAAUUUUCCUCUUGCCACAAGUUACUGCUACCCAAAAUUACUUUCAGUGGCAUAUUCUCAAUUUUCUAUUCGACUUUUAUCUGAACAUUUGUCUUCGUCUCACCAAAAUUAGUAGAGCAUUUAUUGUAAAAUUAUGAUAAAUAUACGUACUACCAGAAACUUUGCCAACUACGCCAAAUAAAUUUGGACCUAGUUUGCUAGCACCACCUUGAUUAGGCGUGUGACACAUUGAGCACAUUCUCACGAAUAAUGUCUUUCCCCUCUCAGGAUCUCCCAUUUUUUAUAAAAAUAUUUGUUCUUUCUAAAUUCGGAGGUUAUGUCAACUGUAUAUCUCCAAUAACAUUUCUGACACUGGACACAGAUCAAUUUUCGCAGCGAUUGAAUUUUCUUAUGAAAUGAUAGCAGAUUUCACUCUAUUGCUACCUUCAUAGACUGUCAUGAAUUUCGAAUUUCAGCACGAUUAUGUUACAAUUAGGUAAUUAUCCGUGAUUAAAUAAAAACAAUAUUAUAUGUUUCGUCUGAACUCUUUUGUAACAUUUGUUUCAUUGUAGAUUAAUUAAAAUUAUAGAUUCGCUUUCAUCAUUGCCAUUCCCUAAAAUUAUGAGCGUAGUACUGAUAAUCUUGAAUAAUAGAGGGUUAAUAUUAAUUAUAUGUAUACCUAAACUAAGAUUAUUAAAAUGUUCUAAUAUUGCAUAUCCUAUUUCAUAUUGGAGAAAUUGUGAUGUUAAUAUGAUGAAUUAAUUUACUAUUAUAUUUCUUUAUAUAA